CUCUCUAUUUUCUAUAUACAAACAAAACCUAGCUAAAAACAUUCAAUUAAAAUAAUAUACAAACUUAAAUUGAAAAGUACAACACUAUCUUCAUAAGAGGUGAUCUUUGUUUCUGCAUCAUUGUCUUCUUCUUAAUGUAUUUCUCAGAUACCUAGUAGAAUAAACACAAAAUUAAUAUAAAAUUAAGUAACAAAUACCAAAAAAUUAAAAGAUUUUUUUUUUCAUAGGACAGUAAAUAUACUAACCUUCAAUAUCACAAAGAUAAAAUAAAUACACCUAUUGAUCUUUAAUAUCAUCAAUUGUAAUUGAAUUGAUUUUGUGAUUCUAGAUUCAAUGUAAACACGGUGGAUAUUCAAACUCGCACAUCCUCCAGGAUGAAGCCUCAUCCAUACUUAUCUCUUGCUUGAAGCCCAAUCAAUGGUGAACCAUGACCUCAACAAUCCUAAGGUUCAGCAAAACUCCAUGGCUCUCAAAGAACCAACCUGCUUAUGUGUGCCUGAUACUCUUAUUAUUGGGCUCAACCAAAUGAAACACAAGGCCCAAGUAAUAAAAUAUUAUAACAUCAAACCCAUGCACCUAAUAUUUGAAGCCCAGUCAUAAAGCAAAUGAGACCCAAGCCCAUAUAAAAAUUAAAUUAAAACUACCUCAACAAGUACUGUAGAGAUCCAAGGAAACUUACCUACGUCUCUUGAAGCCCUAAGAUGAAGAACGAAGUGGCAACCAGGGAGAUAGUGGUGUUGAUCUCAGUCCAACAAAAUUCAAUGGGUAAUGCAGGAGGUACCAAGGUUGUGGGCUGCAACAAUGGUGGCUAUGAUGGUGAUGGAACAUCAAGAAUCGCAUCGGGGCUAUGGCGAAACAAUUGCAACUGUGUCGAGACUGUGGUGAACCAUCGGGAAGCACGUUUGAGUUGUAGUGAACAUGGGAACAAUAGCCAUGGGGGGAAUAUAAAGAUGGUGGCAUGGUGGGUGUGGGACUCAUGGAUGGUAACAACAAGGGAGAUGGAGGGGGUGGCGUAGAGGCUGCCAUGAAUAUGAGGAUGGGAGGAUGAAAAAAGAAAGAAGAAAGAAGAAGAAAGAAGAAGAAAGAAGAAAAAAAAUAGGAAAAGAAGAGAAAAAGGAAGAUGGGGAAUAUGGGGCGGCUGUAAAUGGAAGGAAAU
rnacentral:lncRNA from 1 species